rnacentral:lncRNA from 1 species
UUCUUUCCGUCCGGUCCAAGUUCCUCCACAACCUGCACAAGAAACAUGGCCUCGACGCAGUAUUAGGGUUUCCGACAUGUGCUAGAAACGUGUUUAAGAACAAGACCGACGAGACAGGUCUAAACGAAAUGUCUACACUUCAAUAAUAUCGACUCGACACUUCGAGAGAAGAGCCCAUCAGACCUGAAAAGCCGCAGAGGCUGGAGCAACGUCGUCGCCAUGAACUUGCUCUCCCCCUUCCACGGCGUCGGCCGGUGCAGGGCCACCAGAGAUAGGGUCGGAGUUGCCUUUCCAAAAUAACCUGUAGACUGCAUAGACUUCC